CUAGUAUGCGCAGCUAUACAUGCAAGUCGAACGGUAUAUAUCUUUCGGGAUAUAGAGAGUGGCGCACGGGUGCGUAACGCGUAUGCAACCUACCCAAUACAGGGGGAUAGCCCGGAGAAAUCUGGAUUAAUACCCCAUGGCACCUUGGAGGGGCAUUCCUUUAAGGUUAAAGAUUUAUCGGUAUUGGAUGGGCAUGCGUCUGAUUAGCUAGUUGGAGGUGUAACGGACCACCAAGGCGACGAUCAGUAGGGGUUCUGAGAGGAAGGUCCCCCACACUGGCACUGAGAUACGGGCCAGACUCCUACGGGAGGCAGCAGUAGGGAAUAUUGGGCAAUGGACGAGAGUCUGACCCAGCCAUGCCGCGUGCAGGAAGACGGCGUUCUGCGUUGUAAACUGCUUUUAUCUGGGAAGAAAAGGCCCAUGCGUGGGACAUUGCCGGUACCAGAUGAAUAAGCACCGGCUAACUCCGUGCCAGCAGCCGCGGUAAUACGGAGGGUGCAAGCGUUGUCCGGAUUUAUUGGGUUUAAAGGGUGCGUAGGCGGCUGAUUAAGUCAGCGGUGAAAGACAUCGGCUCAACCGAUGCAGUGCCGUUGAUACUGGUUAGCUUGAGUGUUGGAGGGGUACAUGGAAUUGAUGGUGUAGCGGUGAAAUGCAUAGAUACCAUCAGGAACACCGAUAGCGAAGGCAUUGUACUGGCCAACAACUGACGCUGAUGCACGAAAGCAUGGGUAGCGAACAGGAUUAGUCCCU
rnacentral:rRNA from 1 species